GUUGCUAUCUCAGCGGUAGAGUACAGGCUUUGUACGUAUGAUGUCCUGGGUUCAAUACCCAGCUUCU
rnacentral:tRNA from 1 species